GACGAACGCUGGCGGCGUGCCUAAUACAUGCAAGUUGAGCGAUGAAGCUUGGUGCUUGCACCCAUUUGCAGAGCAGCGAACGGGUGAGUAACGCGUGGGGAAUCUGCCUUUGAGCGGGGGACAACAUUUGGAAACGAAUGCUAAUACCGCAUAACAACUUUAACCAUAAGUUUUAAGUUUGAAAGAUGCAAUUGCAUCACUCAAAGAUGAUCCCGCGUUGUAUUAGCUAGUUGGUGAGGUAAAGGCUCACCAAGGCGAUGAUACAUAGCCUACCUGAGAGGGUGAUCGGCCACAUUGGGACUGAGACACGGCCCAAACUCCUACGGGAGGCAGCAGUAGGGAAUCUUCGGCAAUGGACGAAAGGCUGACCGAGCAACGCCGCGUGAGUGAAGAAGGUUUUCGGAUCGUAAAACUCUGUUGGUAGAGAAGAACGUUGGUGAGAGUGGAAAGCUCAUCAAGUGACGGUAACUACCCAGAAAGGGACGGCUAACUACGUG
rnacentral:rRNA from 1 species